rnacentral:rRNA from 1 species
UACGGAGGGUGCAAGCGUUAAUCGGAAUUACUGGGCGUAAAGCGUGCGCAGGCGGUUUGUUAAGUCUGUUGUGAAAUCCCCGAGCUCAACUCCGGAACUGCCUUUGAUACUGGUAGCCUAGAGAUCGGAAGAGGUGAGUGGAAUUCCCAGUGUAGAGGUGAAAUUCGUAGAUAUUGGGAAGAACACCAGUGGCGAAGGCGGCUCACUGGUCCGAUACUGACGCUGAGGUGCGAAAGCGUGGGGAGCAAACAGG